rnacentral:tRNA from 1 species
GGGCGAUUAGCUCAGUUGGCUGGAGCGCCACGUUUACACCGUGGGGGUCGAGCCCCUCAUCGCCCA